CGUUUAUUUGAUAGUGCCUUACUACUUGGAUAACCGUGGUAAUUCUAGAGCUAAUACAUGCUAAAAACCCCGACUUCGGAAGGGGUGUAUUUAUUAGAUACAAAACCAAUGCCCUUCGGGGCUCUUUGGUGAUUCAUGAUAACUAUACGAAUCGCACGGCCUUGCGCCGGCGAUGGUUCAUUCAAAUUUCUUCCCUAUCAACUUUCGAUGUUUGGGUAUUGGCCAAACAUGGUUGCAACGGGUAACGGAGGGUUAGGGCUCGACCCCGGAGAAGGAGCCUGAGAAACGGCUACUACAUCCAAGGAAGGCAGCAGGCGCGCAAAUUACCCAAUCCCGACUCGGGGAGGUAGUGACAAUAAAUACUGAUACAGGGCCCUUUCGGGCCUUGUAAUUGGAAUGAGUACAAUUUAAAUCCCUUAACGAGGAACAAUUGGAGGGCAAGUCUGGUGCCAGCAGCCGCGGUAAUUCCAGCUCCAAUAGCGUAUAUUAAAGUUGUUGUGGUUAAAAAGCUCGUAGUUGAACCUUGGGCCUGGCUGGCCGGUCCGCCUCACCGCGUGCACUGGUCCGGCCGGGCCUUUCCCUCUGUGGAACCCCAUACCCUUCACUGGGCGUGGCGGGGAAACAGGACAUUUACUUUGAAAAAAUUAGAGUGCUCCAGGCAGGCCUAUGCUCGAAUACAUUAGCAUGGAAUAAUAAAAUAGGACGCGCGGUUCUAUUUUGUUGGUUUAUAGGACCGCCGUAAUGAUUAAUAGGGACAGUCGGGGGCAUCAGUAUUCAACUGUCAGAGGUGAAAUUCUUGGAUCAGUUGAAGACUAACUACUGCGAAAGCAUUUGCCAAGGAUGUUUUCAUUAAUCAGGAACGAAAGUUAGGGGAUCGAAGACGAUCAGAUACCGUCGUAGUCUUAACCAUAAACUAUGCCGACUAGGGAUCGGACGGUGUUAUUCAUGACCCGUUCGGCACCUUACGAGAAAUCAAAGUGCUUGGGCUCCAGGGGGAGUAUGGUCGCAAGGCUGAAACUUAAAGAAAUUGACGGAAGGGCACCACCAGGGGUGGAGCCUGCGGCUUAAUUUGACUCAACACGGGGAAACUCACCAGGUCCAGACACAAUAAGGAUUGACAGAUUGAGAGCUCUUUCUUGAUUUUGUGGGUGGUGGUGCAUGGCCGUUCUUAGUUGGUGGGGUGACUUGU
rnacentral:rRNA from 1 species